CUUAUACUCCCUCCGUCCCAAAAUUCUUGUCUUAGAUUUGUCUAGAUACGGAUGUAUCUAAUACUAAAAUGAAACUAGAUACAUCCGUAUUUAGACAAAUCUAAGACAAGAAUUUUGGGACGGAGGGAGUAUUUA
rnacentral:pre_miRNA from 1 species